rnacentral:rRNA from 1 species
GUCUUUUUGAUUUUGAUUUAAAGUCUGGCCUGCCCAAUGAUUAUUUGAAUGGCCGCAGUAUUUUGACUGUGCAAAGGUAGCAUAAUCAUUAGUUUUUUAAUUGAAAGCUGGAAUGAAAGGUUUGAUGAGAAAAUAACUGUCUCUGCGUGAAUGAUUUAGAACUUCAAUUUUAAGUGAAAAAGCUUAAAUUUUUUAUAAAGACGAGAAGACCCUAUAGAGUUUUAUAUUUGGUCUUAUUCAGGGAUUUUGGAAUUUAUUUUUUUGUUUUGGAUUAAGUAUUUUGUUGGGGCGAUGGAAAAAUUGGAUAAACUUUUUUUUGUUUAAUACAUUUAUUUAUGAUUAUUUGAUCCUAAAUUUUGGAUUACAAGAUUAAAUUACCUUAGGGAUAACAGCGUAAUUUUUUUUGGAGAGUUCUUAUCGAUAAAAAAGUUUGCGA